UAUUGAAGGGACUCUGUCAAAUGUCACUCAGCUAAUAAGCACAGGAGCUGAAACAUGAACCAGCUUUUUCAUACCUGGGAAGAAUGUGCAUCUUUUCAUGUUGCUCUGUCUCAGCCGUGAAAUGUGUGGGAAGACAUGCUGAUCAGCCAGCAGAUGCUGCCCUCCUGCAUAAAACUGAGCAGAAAUGUUUGUCCUGCAGCUUGAGUUAGCAUCAAUUUCCAGCCAAGCCAGCUGUGGAAAUGGCAAUGUACUCAUUUAAAACCCUUGAGGUUUUAAAGAGCAAAGUGCUACAAGAGAGUCUUCUAAAUUCUCAGAUAUAUUUUGACUUAAAUGACAUUCUUUUGGGGAAAUAUUUAGAGUGAAUCUCCUUCGUUUAUUAGAGGGUAGCUGGAGGAGCUCAGGAUCUUCAGGCAGGAGGGUAACAGAUGAAAUAUAAAUGAAAGAAUGCAUGAUCAGUCAGAAGAAAAACUCCACAUGCACAUAGAGUCCAGUGGUUCACAGCUCAGUUUCAGGAGACAGAGAAACCUGAGAAAGGAGCCUGGCUCCCCAGAGUGGAGCUGAGUGUGACCUUGGGCAAGUUACAUCACAGCAUUAUGAGAUAAAAGGAAGAUAAUGCAUGUAAAAUUGUUAGCAUAGUCACAGGUCAAUAGUAAUUGCUCAAUAAUUUUAGAUUGCUAUCAUUGUCCUUAAUAUUAAUUAUAAUGAUUACUGUUAUUAAAGUAGCAAGUGACAAGAAAAAUGAUGGCUCAAGAUCAUCCUGUGGUCUUUGCACUAUUCAUAUUGAAAAAUUGUUAGUACAUGUUUAAUUUUCUAAUGAAGCACCAGAAAUAAUUUGUAAAAA